GGAGGAGGAAUUCAAAUGGCUUUUGAAGGAAGAAGUUCAUUCUGUUCUGAAGCAGCUGCAGGAUAUUUUGCAGGAAGCUUCACGCAGAUUUUCACUGCCUAGUGGAGCAGCUGAUGGAUCCACCAAGCAAGAGAACUUUAUACUGGGAACCUCUGGUUCAGAUCAAGUCAAGGGAGUGCUGACUCUUCAAGGGGACACUUUAUGCCAAG